rnacentral:lncRNA from 1 species
CCACAGGGCUUAAGCAUCGUCACUAUGUAAAAAAGAGGAGGGAGGGGACUGUGCAGGGUCUUUAGGGUAGGGGGAGAUACGUCUGCAGAAGGGGUGGGGUGGGGGGCGUCUGGCCUAGCAGGCCUUGGGUCCAAGGGGUAUAACACUCUGGGAGUCAAUUUCAGAGCUGUUCUAUACCACAGUGAACACCCAACUCAGAUGUCGGAUGGGUCAUGCUGGGCACACCUGAACAUGCAUUUGUUCAGGUGUUAUAGCCAAGUGCAUAAACAUGCAGACUGUUGGGUCAGACAGACCUGGCUCUAACCCCACGAGCACCACCUACAAGCUGCGUGACUGUGGACAAUGCAAUCAACAUCUCUGUGCCUCAGUUAUUGUAUCUAUUAACUGGGCUCAUAAUGUUUGUUGUUGUUAUAGGAGUUAUUAAGAAAUUAUUUUAGGUAGAUAGGAAAAGGGGUGCUUGGGAAGAUUUUUUUUUCUUUUAAAGCAGCUCCAUAAAUGUUUCUUGUCUAGAAGAAAAGCCCUGGCUCUUAGAGCUGGGCAGGCAAGCUUUGAUAUGCAAAUACAGGCCAUUAGAAACUGCGUCCACCCAAACAUGGAGACUCCCGCCUCUUCUUCUUUUCCCCACGUUCCUGGCAACAUGGCCGCCCCUACAUACACCCAUGUGUGUAGAACAUCAUGGCGCCUGUAUUUGCAUAUUAAAAGGCUAGGGUAGGAAGGCUAGUUUUUUCGUGGGCUACUUGAAUGACAUACCUGGUCAAACCAAUCCCCUGGGCCCUAUGCAAAUCAGGUACCGCCUCCUCCAGCCUCCUCAUAUAACUGGCUGUUUUCCACCGUACUCGAGGUUCCCUCUUUCAGCUUGGAGCCCGCCUCCCUCAGUCUCAGAACAGGGGGAGCCUCUUCCUUCCUUCUUUCUUGUCUAUUAAAUUCUCCACUCCUUAAAACCACUCCACGUGUGCCCAUGUUGUUUUAUUCAAACCAGUGGGAGACCAAGGACCCUAGUGUUCCUCCAGUCAUCAGAGCCAUACCAUUUUGUUGCAUUGGCCGGGAAUCCAAGGUACGACACUCAUCGGAGUGACAAGGUCACCAAUGAUGUGCUGGACAGAUGCCCUGCAUCCAUCAUGCCCCACGGCCACACCCAGGCCUGACCAGGGUCCUGGGCCUCUCCUUGUCCCAUCCCUAGGUACUGCAGAGCCAGGACACCAUUUCAGAUGUGAGAGCUGCCCUGCUCACCUGUGGCAAAGGGACAGAAUGACCAGCCCUAGGCUCAGGCAGGCCUGGUGCUGAGAAAAGGAGGGGCUCACCCGGGAACACGGACACCUCAAC